UACGGGGGGGGCAAGCGUUUGUUCGGAAUUACUGGGCGUAAAGGGCUCGUAGGCGGCCAACUAAGUCGGACGUGAAAUCCCUCGGCUUAACCGGGGAACUGCGUCCGAUACUGGAUGGCUUGAGUUUGGGAGAGGGAUGCGGAAUUCCAGGUGUAGCGGUGAAAUGCGUAGAUAUCUGGAGGAACACCGGUGGCGAAGGCGGCAUCCUGGACCAACACUGACACUGAGGAGCGAAAGCCAGGGGAGCAAACGGG
rnacentral:rRNA from 1 species